rnacentral:rRNA from 1 species
GUUUAUUGUACCUUGUUGCUUCGGUGCGCCCGCCUCACGGCCGCCGGGGGGCUUCUGCCCCCGGGUCCGCGCGCACCGGAGACACCAUUGAACUCUGUCUGAAGAUUGCAGUCUGAGCAUAAACUAAAUAAGUUAAAACUUUCAACAACGGAUCUCUUGGUUCCGGCAUCGAUGAAGAACGCAGCGAAAUGCGAUAACUAAUGUGAAUUGCAGAAUUCAGUGAAUCAUCGAGUCUUUGAACGCACAUUGCGCCCCCUGGUAUUCCGGGGGGCAUGCCUGUCCGAGCGUCAUUGCUGCCCUCAAGCACGGCUUGUGUGUUGGGCUCCGUCCCCCCGGGGACGGGCCCGAAAGGCAGCGGCGGCACCGAGUCCGGUCCUCGAGCGUAUGGGGCUUUGUCACCCGCUCUGUAGGCCCGGCCGGCGCCAGCCGACAACCCAUCAUCCUUUUCAGGUUGACCUCGGAUCAGGUAGGGAUACCCGCUGAACUUAAGCAUAUCAAUA